AUUGAACGCUGGCGGCAUGCUUUACACAUGCAAGUCGAACGGCAGCGCGGGCUUCGGCCUGGCGGCGAGUGGCGAACGGGUGAGUAAUGCAUCGAAACGUGCCCAGUAGUGGGGGAUAGCCCGGCGAAAGCCGGAUUAGUACCGCAUACGACCUGAGGGUGAAAGCGGGGGACCGAAAGGCCUCGCGCUAUUGGAGCGGCCGAUGUCGGAUUAGCUAGUUGGUGGGGUAAAGGCUUACCAAGGCGACGAUCCGUAGCUGGUCUGAGAGGACGACCAGCCACACUGGGACUGAGACACGGCCCAGACUCCUACGGGAGGCAGCAGUGGGGAAUUUUGGACAAUGGGGGCAACCCUGAUCCAGCCAUGCCGCGUGCGGGAAGAAGGCCUUCGGGUUGUAAACCGCUUUUGUUCGGGAAGAAAUCCUCUGGGCUAAUACCCCGGGGGGAUGACGGUACCGGAAGAAUAAGCACCGGCUAACUACGUG
rnacentral:rRNA from 1 species